CCUACGGGAGGCAGCAGUGGGGAAUAUUGGACAAUGGGGGGAACCCGUGAUCCAGCCAUGCCGCGUGUGUGAAGAAGGCCUUAUGGUUGUAAAGCACUUUAAGCGAGGAGGAGGCUCUUCUAGUUAAUACCUAGGAUGAGUGGACGUUACUCGCAGAAUAAGCACCGGCUAACUCUGUGCCAGCAGCCGCGGUAAUACAGAGGGUGCGAGCGUUAAUCGGAUUUACUGGGCGUAAAGCGUGCGUAGGCGGCUUUUUAAGUCGGAUGUGAAAUCCCCGAGCUUAACUUGGGAAUUGCAUUCGAUACUGGGAAGCUAGAGUAUGGGAGAGGAUGGUAGAAUUCCAGGUGUAGCGGUGAAAUGCGUAGAGAUCUGGAGGAAUACCGAUGGCGAAGGCAGCCAUCUGGCCUAAUACUGACGCUGAGGUACGAAAGCAUGGGGAGCAAACAGGAUUAGAUACCCUGGUAGUCCAUGCGUAACGAUAGUCUACUAGUCGUCGGUCGUUGUAGNGUUAGUGCGCGNGCGUACGACGAGAGUAGUAACGUCCGUGGGUUAGGUUAGGUCGUUCGAGAACGUUAAACGUUACGAAGAAGUUAGUUACGGCGNGAGAGNGCGACGGACGACGACGACGGAGGAGGAG
rnacentral:rRNA from 1 species